rnacentral:rRNA from 1 species
UACGUAGGGUGCAAGCGUUAAUCGGAAUUACUGGGCGUAAAGCGUGCGCAGGCGGCUAUGCAAGACAGAUGUGAAAUCCCCGGGCUUAACCUGGGAACUGCAUUUGUGACUGCAUGGCUAGAGUACGGUAGAGGGGGAUGGAAUUCCGCGUGUAGCAGUGAAAUGCGUAGAUAUGCGGAGGAACACCGAUGGCGAAGGCGACAUCCUGGACCGGUAUUGACGCUGAGGCGCGAAAGCGUGGGGAGCAAACAGG